rnacentral:rRNA from 1 species
GACGAACGCUGGCGGCGUGCCUAAUACAUGCAAGUAGAACGCUGAAGAGAGGAGCUUGCUCUUCUUGGAUGAGUUGCGAACGGGUGAGUAACGCGUAGGUAACCUGCCUUGUAGCGGGGGAUAACUAUUGGAAACGAUAGCUAAUACCGCAUAACAAUGGAUGACACAUGUCAUUUAUUUGAAAGGGGCAAUUGCUCCACUACAAGAUGGACCUGCGUUGUAUUAGCUAGUAGGUGAGGUAACGGCUCACCUAGGCGACGAUACAUAGCCGACCUGAGAGGGUGAUCGGCCACACUGGGACUGAGACACGGCCCAGACUCCUACGGGAGGCAGCAGUAGGGAAUCUUCGGCAAUGGGGGCAACCCUGACCGAGCAACGCCGCGUGAGUGAAGAAGGUUUUCGGAUCGUAAAGCUCUGUUGUAAGUCAAGAACGAGUGUGAGAGUGGAAGGUUCACACUGUGACGGUAGCUUACCAGAAAGGGACGGCUAACUACGUGCCAGCAGCCGCGGUAAUACGUAGGUCCCGAGCGUUGUCCGGAUUUAUUGGGCGUAAAGCGAGCGCAGGCGGUUUGAUAAGUCUGAAGUUAAAGGCUGUGGCUCAACCAUAGUUCGCUUUGGAAACUGUCAAACUUGAGUGCAGAAGGGGAGAGUGGAAUUCCAUGUGUAGCGGUGAAAUGCGUAGAUAUAUGGAGGAACACCGGUGGCGAAAGCGGCUCUCUGGUCUGUAACUGACGCUGAGGCUCGAAAGCGUGGGGAGCGAACAGG